GUCCUGUGUGCUCAGCCUGGGGUGGAGUCCUGUCUGUUCAGGCUCGUCCCGGAGAUGAUCCGGCUCUGGUGCGGACGCUGUGAAGCCGGAGGAAGCCUCCUCCACCCCGGCUGUAAAGAAGAAGAAGUGUUCCGCACGUGUUGGAGGUUCCGUCUGCAGCCAUGAAGCCCGUCGCGGUGCUGGUUCUUUGUGUCCUCAGCUGUCAGACUGACGGAGUCAACAUCACAGACCCGGACAGGAACUCCUCGGCUGUGAUCCGCCGGGUGGACCGGCGCUUUCUGUCCGUCACCAUCGACGCCAGCCUGGCGUCAGAGGAGAAGUUCAUGUACCUGUUGAGCUCUCCAAAGGUUCGGACGCUGGCUAAAGCAUUAAGUCCGGCAUUUUUGAGAUUUGGGGGGACCAGACAAGACUUCAUGGUGUUCAGCCCACAGAGGCAUCAGCAGGAGUCUGGUUCCACUGCAGAUCAGUCCUGUGAUAAAGUGGAGUUGCCCUGGUGGCUGGAGGAGAGGCUGAAGAAGGAGUGGACUCAGCAGCAACUGAUCCUGAUGAGAGAAGAUCUGCAGAGGAAGUACAGCAGGGUGAAGUUCACAGAGUACACCGUCGACCUGCUGCACUCCUUCACCAACUGCUCGGGGAUGGAUCUGAUCUUCGGGCUGAACGCUCUGCUCAGAACGGCUGACAACAGCUGGAACAGCAGCAACGCCCGCUCGCUGCUGCAGUACUGCGAGUCCAGGCGGUACAGGAUGUCGUGGGAGCUGGGCAACGAACCAAACAGCUUUGAGAAGAAGGCAGGGAUCCGGGUGGACGGAUAUCAGCUGGGACAGGAUUUCACCCGUCUCAGGGAGAUGAUGUCGGAAUCCAAAUUUUACCACGACGCCGGACUGUUCGGGCCGGACAUCGGUCAGCCGCGAGACCGCAGGACGGACAUACUGGAGGGGUUCCUGCGGAGUGGAGCUGAGGCGGUGGACGCCUGCACCUGGCACCAUUACUAUGUGAACGGGAGAGACACGUCCUUGGAGGAUUUUCUGGACCCAGAGAUUCUGGACACUCUGGCCUCAAAGACCAAAGAAGUCCUGGAGAAAGUGAAGCUGGUGUCUCCGGGGAAGACGGUGUGGCUGGGAGAGACGAGCUCGGCCUACGGAGGAGGAGCUGCGGGACUGUCGGACACGUUCGCCGCAGGAUUCAUGUGGUUGGAUAAACUCGGCCUGGCAGCUGUGCUCGGCCUGCGUGUUGUGAUGAGGCAGGUGUUCAUUGGUUCUGGGAGUUACCACCUGGUCGACGAGAACCUGGAUCCUCUUCCUGAUUAUUGGUUGUCUGUUCUCUACAAGAGACUCGUCGGACCGGAGGUUUUGAAAAUUGAAGGAUUUUCCAGCGUAGCUCGAAGUAAAAGAGUGAGGCUGUAUCUGCACUGCACCAACAGAAACAGCUACAGCGGCGGAGCGGUCACGUUGAUAUCCAUGAACCUGAGUAAGAAGCCGGCCAGGAUCUCCGUUCCUGCACCCGUCUCCUCGAGCACAGUGGAGGCUUUUGUUCUUCAGUCUGACCAGCCGGGGAAGGAGGGGCUCUACUCCAGGUCUGUGAAACUGAACGGGGAAGUGCUGAAGAUGGUGGAUGAUAAAACUCUUCCUGACUUUAAAGGAAGUCGUCUGCCUCCAGCUGAGCGGCUGCAGCUUCCUGCGUACUCGCUGGCCUUCUUCGUCCUCACAGAUGCUCGGGCUGCGGCCUGCAUCUGACCUCAACAUGGACUCCUCUGUAGAGACAGUCAUCACUACUGAGAAAACAGCUGCUCAUCACUGGACUCAAAUGACCUGAGGCAUAAUCUGAACCCUUAAAUGUCCCCACCACUUUUCAACACAAAGUGACGCCCUUGGACGUGGCUAAUGAUCAAUACAUCCCAAACCAGGUUUCCUGCUGUGUCGAUGUUGGACGACUGGAACAUCUGCUUCACCUGCGAUCAGACAGAUUAAUGGCACUGAUCACCUCAGAACAUAUCUGGAUGAUCGCAUGAGAAAGAGUGGUGGAAAGCUCUUGGCUUGGAAACCAGAGGGUCACUGGUUCAAGUCCAGCUCGGCCAGAGAUCCGGAGUGUGGACCCGUAGCUGGAGGGGAGCCAGUUCACCUCCUUGGCCCUUCUGGAGGAGGCUCGAGGUGGCAGCCCCCUCGCUCUGACGUCUCUGCAUGUGUUGUUGCAUGUGUGUGUAUAAUAACAAUAA